AGCAGCAGCAGCAACAGUGGAGACUGGGGCUGGGACCUGGCCAGUGACCAGUCCUCUCCGUCCACCCCGUCACCCCCACUGCCCCCCGAGGCAGCCCACUUUCUGUUCGGGGAGCCCACCCUGAGAAAAAGGAAGGUGAGCUUGGGGGCGGCCCCCAGGGAGGGGUGGGUGUGGUGGCUGAGCCUGACCCUGGCCCCUGUUGCUGCAGAGCCCGGCCCAGGUCAUGUUCCAGUGUCUGUGGAAGAACUGCGGGAAGGUGCUGAGCACGGCGUCGGCGAUGCAGAGACACAUCCGCCUGGUGCACCUGGGGUGCGGCGGGGCCCGCGGGUUGGCUGGGGUUGUGAGGCCCGGCCAGGCCGCCCCUUCAGCUCCCACUGGCUGUGUCUCCCGCAGGAGGCAGGCAGAGCCUGAGCAGAGUGACGGUGAGGAGGACUUCUACUACACAGAGCUGGAUGUUGGUGUGGACACGCUGACCGACGGGCUGUCCAGCCUGACUCCAGUGUCCCCCACGGCCUCCAUGCCGCCUGCCUUCCCCCGCCUGGAGCUGCCAGAGCUGCUGGAGCCCCCAGCCCUGCCUAGUCCCCUGCGGCCGC
rnacentral:sRNA from 1 species